AGCAGCCGCGGUAAUUCCAGCUCCAAUAGCGUAUAUUAAAGUUGCUGCAGUUAAAAAGCUCGUAGUUGAAUUUCGGGACCAUCAUGUCGGUCGUGCCUUGGUACGUACUGGCAUUAUUGGUUUCUACCUUCUGAAGAACCUCGAUGUCAUUAAUUUGGUGUCUUGGGGAAUCAGGACUGUUACUUUGAAAAAAUUAGAGUGUUUAAAGCAGGCUCGCGCUUGAAUACAUUAGCAUGGAAUAAUGAAAUAGGACGUUUGAUUCUAUUUUGUUGGUUUCUAGGAUCGACGUAAUGAUUAAUAGGGAUAGUUGGGGGCAUUAGUAUUCAAUUGUCAGAGGUGAAAUUCUUGGAUUUAUUGAAGACUAACUACUGCGAAAGCAUUUGCCAAGGAUGUGUUCAUUAAUCAAGAACGAAAGUUAGGGGAUCGAAGACGAUCAGAUACCGUCGUAGUCUUAACCAUAAACUAUGCCGA
rnacentral:rRNA from 1 species